rnacentral:rRNA from 1 species
ACGCACGCUGGCGGCGUGCUUAACACAUGCAAGUCGCACGGAAAGGCCCUGCUUUUGUGGGGUGCUCGAGUGGCGAACGGGUGAGUAACACGUGAGUAACCUGCCCUUGACUUUGGGAUAACUUCAGGAAACUGGGGCUAAUACCGGAUAGGAGCUCCUGCUGCAUGGUGGGGGUUGGAAAGUUUCGGCGGUUGGGGAUGGACUCGCGGCUUAUCAGCUUGUUGGUGGGGUAGUGGCUUACCAAGGCUUUGACGGGUAGCCGGCCUGAGAGGGUGACCGGCCACAUUGGGACUGAGAUACGGCCCAGACUCCCACGGGAGGCAGCAGUGGGGAAUAUUGCACAAUGGGCGGAAGCCUGAUGCGGCAACGCCGCGUGCGGGAUGACGGCCUUCGGGUUGUAAACCGCUUUCGCCUGUGACGAAGCGUGAGUGACGGUAAUGGGUAAAGAAGCACCGGCUAACUACGUG